AUACAAUUUACAUUUUACAAUGUAAAAAGUCCAUAUAUAUAAUAUAUGUGCAUACAUGACGCCUGCGCCAAAACAUAGGAAUAAGAAAGAGCAUCAACC